rnacentral:rRNA from 1 species
GACGAACGCUGGCGGCGUGCCUAAUACAUGCAAGUUGAGCGCUGAAGGUUGGUACUUGUACCGACUGGAUGAGCAGCGAACGGGUGAGUAACGCGUGGGGAAUCUGCCUUUGAGCGGGGGACAACAUUUGGAAACGAAUGCUAAUACCGCAUAAAAACUUUAAACACAAGUUUUAAGUUUGAAAGAUGCAAUUGCAUCACUCAAAGAUGAUCCCGCGUUGUAUUAGCUAGUUGGUGAGGUAAAGGCUCACCAAGGCGAUGAUACAUAGCCGACCUGAGAGGGUGAUCGGCCACAUUGGGACUGAGACACGGCCCAAACUCCUACGGGAGGCAGCAGUAGGGAAUCUUCGGCAAUGGACGAAAGUCUGACCGAGCAACGCCGCGUGAGGGAAGAAGGGUUUCGGAUCGUAAAAAUCUGUUGGUAGAGAAGAACGUUGGUGAGAGUGGAAAGCUCAUCAAGUGACGGUAACUACCCAGAAAGGGACGGCUAACUACGUG